UUAUGUUAGAGGACUUUCCUUGUCAAAGGCUACUGAGAAGAAAAUUGUGGAAGCUGAUGCUUAUGUUGCUGCCUUUGAUGUACCUGGAAUUAAAAGAUUAAUCCCAGCAGAGUGGAGGGAAAAGGAGUUGUUCAAUAACAUAUACGAACUUGUUGGAGUUCCUGUGGUCACAGUACAACUCAGAUACAAUGGUUGGGUUACAGAGUUGCAGGAUCUAGAACUGUCAAGGUAAUUC